AACGUAGGGGACAAGCGUUAUCCGGAUUUACUGGGCGUAAAGCGCCCGUAGGCGGCCUGACAAGUUGGACGUGAAAGCUCCUGGCUUAACUGGGAGAGGCCGUUCAAAACUGUCAAGCUAGAGUCUGGAAGAGGAGAGCGGAAUUCCCGGUGUAGUGGUGGAAUGCGUAGAGAUCGGGAGGAACACCAGUGGCGAAGGCAGCCCCCUGGGAUAACACUGACGCUCAUGCACGAAAGCGUGGGGAGCAAACAGG
rnacentral:rRNA from 1 species